rnacentral:rRNA from 1 species
UACGGGAGGCAGCAGGGGGAAUAUUGCACAAUGGGCGAAAGCCUGAUGCAGCUAUGCCGCGUGUAUGAAGAAGGCCUUAGGGUUGUAAAGUACUUUCAUCGGGGAGGAAAAAACAAAACUAAUAAUUUUAUUUCUUGACGUUACCCGAAAAAGAAGCACCGGCUAACUCCGUGCCAGCAGCCGCGGUAAUACGGAGGGUGCUAGCGUUAAUCAGAAUUACUGGGCGUAAAGAGCACGUAGGUGGUUUUUUUAAAGUCAGAUGUGAAAUCCCUGGGCUUUAACCUGGAACUGCAUUUUGAAACUGAAAUACUAGAGUAUCGUAGAGGGAGGUAGAAUUCUAGGUGUAGCGGUGAAAUGCGUAGAUAUCUGGAGGAAUACCUGUGGCGAAAGCGGCCUCCUAAACGAAUACUGACACUGAGGGUGCGAAAGCGUGGGGAGCAAACAGGGAUUAGAUACCCGU